rnacentral:lncRNA from 1 species
UACGCGCCUCUUCCCCGCCUCCUCCCCAGCCUUGAACGAGGCGCUGGACGCUUUUCCCGGCGGGAGGAAGCGCACGAAAUAAAAACAAGUGUGUCCGCGCUGAGGGAGGGGGAUUUCUGCAUCCCCUCACCGACCGAGCCGCCGUGCCCUGUUGCGGAGCCGGGAAAGCGAGGUCAUAAACCUGCAUUGGUGCUGGCCAGGAGCGCAAGCUGGAUAGCUCAGGCUCUAGAGCUGUGAUCUUCCACGUCGAGGUGGUCUCCUGAGUGGCUGACAACAGGUUGUCUGGAGAGUUGGCUGGUGGACAAACUGAGAAGAGGCUGUGGACAUGAGGGACUCUUAGCUCUUUGGGCACAAUGCCUGAACCGUGUAUGGCACAGAACCUCCUUGUGUUGGAUUAGUGAAGUUACCUGGAUCCUCAGGAAACAGCUUCAAGGUCUCAUACCUUCAAAAACAAGUCUUUUAAAAAAUCUAGAAUCUGUGGAAUCUGCAAACAAGUAAUUGACAGCCAAGGAAUUUCUUGCAGAGUUUGCAAAUAUGCCUGCCACAGGAAAUGUGAAGAAAAG